GUAAGCUUUAAAUUGUCAUUGGAUCUGCAUAAUAAGAUAUGCAUAAUUCAAAAGAGAAAGAUGAUAUUCUUGUUUCGAUUCAGCAUUUUGUUUUCAUCCUUUUCUUCGUUUUUGUGUCUUUUUAUGGUCACUUCGUUCCUGUCACGUGAAGAAAAGAACCUAUCUGUUUGAUCCGUGGCUUAACAAAUCUGCAACCUCAAAUUCAAAUGUUACUGAAAACAAC
rnacentral:lncRNA from 1 species